rnacentral:rRNA from 1 species
UGGGGAAUUUUGGACAAUGGGCGAAAGCCUGAUCCAGCAAUGCCGCGUGUGUGAAGAAGGCCUUCGGGUUGUAAAGCACUUUUGUCCGGAAAGAAAUCCUUGGCUCUAAUACAGUCGGGGGGAUGACGGUACCGGAAGAAUAAGCACCGGCUAACUACGUGCCAGCAGCCGCGGUAAUACGUAGGGUGCAAGCGUUAAUCGGAAUUACUGGGCGUAAAGCGUGCGCAGGCGGUUUGCUAAGACCGAUGUGAAAUCCCCGGGCUCAACCUGGGAACUGCAUUGGUGACUGGCAGGCUAGAGUAUGGCAGAGGGGGGUAGAAUUCCACGUGUAGCAGUGAAAUGCGUAGAGAUGUGGAGGAAUACCGAUGGCGAAGGCAGCCCCCCUGGGCCAAUACUGACGCUCAUGCACGAAAGCGUGGGGGAGCAAACAGGAUUAGAUACCCUGGUAGUCCACGCCCUAAACGAUGUCAACUAGGUUGUUGGGGAUUCAUUUCCUUAGUAACGUAGCUAACGCGUGAAGUUGACCGCCUGGGGAGUACGGUCGCAAGAUUAAAACUCAAAUGAAUUGACGGGGUCAUAGCUG